rnacentral:lncRNA from 1 species
UCGGGGAUUCUGAAACAUUGUAACGUUAAGAAAAAGUUGAAUAACAUCUUAAAUAGUAUUGCUUGGUGAUCUGUUGGCCAACGCUGUUUACAAAUGGUGUUUGAAAAACCAAAUUCUAGUUUCUCUCUCUAUAUUAUCUGCUCUCUUUUCCCUCUAAUUUUCUGGAAACCGCUACAUUGGUACUUUAGUUGAGAGUGAUCCAACAAUGGCCUAUCCCAAUUCUAUUGAGGCAAUUUUUGCCCAAUUUACAGAUCAGUUUUGUGCUACCAUGGCCACGGUCGUACAACAUCAAUUGGAGGUUGUGAAAUAAACUCGUCACACUCCUUACACAGAGAAACAUACUGAUAAUCAGGUGAAGAAUCAAGUUCAACCCAAACUUGAUACAGGGCAGCAUCAAUUACAGAUCCGCGUAGCUGAUGAACGAUGGCAGAAGACCAAAACUGAUGGGCCUCACUAUGCUGGUAGUGCCCUAACGACGUUGCAAACUCAAUUUAGCUCUUCAUCAUGUGUGGAUCCAAACACACAAUUCUCUAAGCUCGUACAAACUACAUCGGUAGCUGAUUGAGGUACAAUUCCAACUGUUAGCUACAAGGAUAUAUGGGUUUAGUGAAAAUUUUCUGAUGGGUCGCUUCAUUAAUGGUUUAAAAGAUGAAAUUCAGUGUUAAGUUCUUACUGCCCAACCCUAUAAUUUACAUCAUGCGAUUGGUUUAGCUAAGCUUUUUGAGGAAAAGUUAGUAGUGACAGAAACAACUCAACUCAGUCCCAUACAACACCAUUCCAUCUCAAUUCGUGAGCCUAAACCCAUUCAUACUGCCACUCAAACUACACCAACAAAACCUCUAGAUGUACAGGAGGUUAUCCGCAAAGGGCAAUCCACAAACUCAGCAUUGAGUUGUCCUUGACAUUGGUAUCUUUGUUAUAUCUAAAGGAGAUUUUGUUUGAAGGAAUGGGACUGAU